GGAAGUUCUCCUGGAGAAGGGAUAGGCUACCUACUCCAGUUUUCUUGGGCUUCCCUGGUGGCUCAGCUGGUGAAGAAUCUGCCUGCAAUGCAGGAGACCUGGGUUCGAUCCCUGGGUAGAGAAGAUCCCCUGGAGAAGGAAAUGGCAACCCACUCCAGCAUU